GGAUGUGAGGGUGAUCUGGCUGCGACAUCUGUCACCCCAUUGAUCACCAGGGUUGAUUUGGCUGACCUGGCUGGCUAGGCGGGUGUCCCCUUCCUCCCUCACCACUCCAUGUGCAUCCCUCCCAAAGCUGCAUGCUCAGUCAAAGAGGACGACCUUCCCCAAUAGAGGAGGACCGUUUUUGGGUCAAGGGUAUAUGAGUAGCUGCGCUCCCCUGCUAGAACCUCCAAACAAGCUUUCAAGAAAGCCAAGAUAGCAUGUGAAAAAGGAAAUACACUAAGAGGAUGAAAGAAAAAUAAAAUAAUCUGUUGUGU
ensembl:misc_RNA 7SK 7SK RNA